rnacentral:rRNA from 1 species
ACUCCUACGGGAGGCAGCAGUGGGGAAUAUUGCACAAUGGGGGGAAAACCCCUGAUGCAGCCAUGCCGCGUGUGUGAAGAAGGCCUUCGGGUUGUAAAGCACUUUCAGUAGGGAGGAAGGUAGUGUAGUUAACACCUGCAUAUUUGAUCGUNUCCUACAGAAGAAGCACCGGCUAACUCCGUGCCAGCAGCCGCGGUAAUACGGAGGGUGCGAGCGUUAAUCGGAAUUACUGGGCGUAAAGCGCAUGCAGGCGGCCUGUUAAGUCAGAUGUGAAAGCCCGGGGCUUAACCUCGGAAUUGCAUUUGAAACUGGCAGGCUAGAGUCUUGUAGAGGGGGGUAGAAUUUCAGGUGUAGCGGUGAAAUGCGUAGAGAUCUGAAGGAAUACCAGUGGCGAAGGCGGCCCCCUGGACAAAGACUGACGCUCAGAUGCGAAAGCGUGGGGAGCAAACAGGAUUAGAUACCCUGGUAGACAU